UACAGAGGUCUCAAGCGUUUGUUCGGAUUUAUUGGGCGUAAAGGGUGUGUAGGUGGCGCCGUAAGUCGGGUGUGAAAUUUCGGAGCUUAACUCCGAAACUGCAUUCGAUACUGCGGUGCUUGAGGACUGGAGAGGAGACUGGAAUUCAUGGUGUAGCAGUGAAAUGCGUAGAGAUCAUGAGGAAGACCAGUGGCGAAGGCGGGUCUCUGGACAGUUCCUGACACUGAGACACGAAGGCCAGGGGAGCAAACGGG
rnacentral:rRNA from 1 species